GGGAUGGGGGAAGGGCCUCCAAAAUAGCCAGAAAAGAUUUGUGGAAUUUUGAAGUGCCUUUUUCUUGAUCCAGCUUUCACUUGGUUGCUGUAAACUUUUGACUGUUUUCCAGAGUUCUUAUAAAAUGUAUUCUGACAGUUUCUGCUUGUUUUUUAAUGUUUCUGUGGAAGGGGCGGAGACCUCCACGUCCCAGGAAGGGCUGGCUGUGCUCUAGAAUACGCACUGUCUCACCACCUCUGCGAUGUCCAUCCAGCGGUGACCCUCCGCCUGUCCCAAGAGGUCUCAACGGUUUCAUCCAGGGCAGAAUUCUGGGAGGCAGGUGGAGGCUGAAGUCAGAGCUGAAGGAAGAGGCAGCAAGAGCCAGAGUGCCGCGCUGAGCACAGAAACAUGCCCGUCUUCCCCUUUGCCAGUCACACUGAUGAGAACCAGGAGGACAGAGAUGUCAUCAGGACUAAUAGCCUGCAGCUGUUGGAGUGGCCCUGCCAGAUGGUGAGGUGGUGCGGUUAUGCCAGGGUUGAUGUGCGGUGGGAAGGGGUCAGGGCAGCCUUCACCCCCUGCCUCCCUUUGUCCCCAGCAGAAUCCUGCUUCUUGGUGAGCAGUGUCUCUCUUGGGAGAGACAGUUGGGUGUGACGAACGUCUGGUCCUACAGAGACAGAGCGCUUUGGGUGUUUCCAUCAAAGCCAAAGGCAAGCCUUUUGGUUUUAAGAUUUGACCGCGGGCACCUGAAAGGACAAGUGAUGGGAAGUAAUCUCACGUGUUUGUGUUUGGAAUUUGGCUAUUUCAAAUGGCCAGCGUAUACUAAAUAAUGGAAUUUGACCACUGAAAAUGAACUCUGGACUCUUCUAGAGUCUGUUAGAGAACAGCCUGGCCCCUUCCACCUCCCUAGUAUCAUCUCUUAUAUCUCAUAGACACACUGGGGUCUUCCAGGCCUAUGCCUGCCCUGCAUUUCCACUCUGUGCAUGUGUUUUCUCUGCAUGGGUCACUUUCACCCUAACGAGCCCCGUGCCCGAAGAACUCCUAUGCAUCCUUCAAAACUCAGGUCAGGAGUCAUGUUUCCUGGAAACUUUGUAGGUGCUCUCCUCCCUUAUCUGGUAAAGUUCACUGGGUUGAUUUCCAUCACAGAAAGCCCUGUGCACAGUGUGCUCAAAGGUCAACCGUGUGCUCCCCUUCCCCGUGGCCAGUCCCUUCCUCUUGGGGACCGUAACAAAGUAUCUUUUCAGUAGAAGGUAUCUCCUGAUCUUCUGGACUUGCCCAUCUGAAUAAUAAUAAAACCUACAUUUUGAAACACGGGUAUUGCCUUAUGGAUACAGCCAUCACCUAAGUCAAGAAGUAACAUUAGCAACAUUUCCAGGGGCAUCGUGCUCUUAUAAUCCAGCAAACAUUUAUGAAGUGCCUUCUUCUAUUCACUCAUACAUUCACAUCUUCACCAAAUAUUUACCAAUUAUCUGUGAUGGGCUUGAUAGUGUGCUGGGACUCGUCACGUACAGAGAUGACCAAAGCAGAGCUUCUGGCUUCACCACGCACGUCUUUUAAUGGAAAAGACAGUAUUAGUCAAACAACCACACACAUGAAUAUACAAUAGCAAACAAUGAUACGUGCAAGGGAGGCGAAUCGAACACUGCUCUGUGCAGGUCACUCCCAUGAAUUAUGUCCUUUAGCCCUCCCAAAAGGCCGAUUUGGGGGGUACCAUUGGUAUUGACAGUCUAGACACGAGGAAACAAAAGUGAGGCUUUGCCCCAAGCCAUGUAGCUGGAGGUCGGAGGAAUCACUGAAAAGGUCUAGCUAGUCAAGAAAGACAUCAGGAAGGGGCAAACUUUGACCCAGGUCUUGAAGAAAGGAUAGGAUUCAGGUAGGCGAAGCUGGGAGGGGCAUUCCUCAAGUCGCCACCUGAUUUUUAGUCCUUGCUGUGGAGGUGGGUGCCUAAGGCACCCAUUGCCUUCUACCAAGGAAGGAAUGCAGAAUUCUGGUUUAGCAGGUGUUGGCUGUCCUCAAGGCUCUUAGGCAGCUCUACUACGGCAAAGACCUUCCAAGCUGAGACUUCACGCAACAGCUCCAGUUCGAAGGGAAAGUUUUUUCUUACUCAAUCUGGUAUUGACAUCUGACAUCCUGCAGAAGGCAGCCCGAAGCUUGAGGCUUCUGGCUGUGGGAGGCUCCCUCAGGAGCUUCAUUGGAGAACUCGGGAGCCUUGGGUCUCAGGAAGGGCUCUCUCACUAAAAGCAGAGCGAUCUUGGGUCCAAGCGUUUCAACUUCAUUUCCUAACUGAGCGUCGGGACAAAGCUAGCAUUUGACAUUUUCUGAAGAAACACUAGCUUUGACAGAGUGCCUCAAAUAGGACAGACGAAGACCGCGUCAUUGGAGACCCCAAAAAAUACCCCAGGCACAACCUGACCGGCCCAGGGAGGCCGAUACAGGAUUAUAUGCAGCUUUUCUCCUGGUGGGAUAGAGCUGCUUCGGGGAGGUGAGAGUGGAAAUGUACUUCUUCAGGAGAGAGGCAGUUGGGAGGGCUUUCAUGGGGCUGAAUCUUUGUUUCGCCGCUUACUAGCUGUAUUACCUGUACAAGUGACUUCCCCUCUGGGAGCUGGUUUCUGCAUUGGUCCAAUAGGGAUACAGUGUGAGUUUUAUUAGAUAGUGUUGGAUUUAGAGUUCAUACACAUCUAGUCAUGGGCACCAUGCCUGGCAUGGAGCAGGCAGUGCUGGCAUCCCACUUUCCCUCAUCUGCAUGGGCUAUGUCCUUUUCACAGCAUUGGACCACACAUUUAUUGUAGGGAGUUGAACAGCUCAACCAACACACUCUGGGCACUAGCUGGCAAGCCUAUCAUGGGGGCACCAGGGAGGAGGUGUUCUUGUUUUGUAUCUUCUUCCUCCUUUGAAAGUUUUUCCUCCUCUGAGACUCCACACAAGCCCAGACUUAACCAGGCACGACCAUGGGACCGAAGACACAUCCUCCAAGUUAUGCUGUGCACGGACCCAGGUGACCUCAAACACCCUCGUCCUUGGCUGGCCUCAACUUUGUAAACACAUGCUGCACAAGACCCUGUGUCCCCUGGGACUUCUGAGAGCCCCGUGCUAGAUGGCUUCCCCAGGAGCAGAAAUGCUGAGGAAAUCAGAAAUUUCCAUACCAAUGAGCGAGAACCACUUACUGGUUUCAGGCCAGCUGGGGCCCCUGAUUGUGACUUGUAGGAGUAUGCUUGGCAGAGAUUAAACUCCCUCUUUAAUUUUUGAUGUUGUUUCUUUGUUCCUUGCCUUGACCCAGCAGGGUCUUGGAAGUUUUAAAAGAAAAAAAGUCCCCGCCGCGUAGCAAUGACUUGAGGUCAUGUAAUAACUGAUUACAGUUUACCUACAUCUUAGUUAUUUCCAUUAAAAAUGUGGAAAAAUAGCAGAAAAAGGAUGCCAUAAAAACAAAUAGUUCUUUUUGCACAGAGACGCAGCCCAAAGGAGGAACAAAUUUGCUAUUUUUAUAUGUAUAGAAAACACAUCUUCCAGUCUUGCUAGGUAUUCCACAAACCAAUUUAUGUUGACUUUGCUUGGGGCAAGGAAGUACAUUUGGGGUUCCUUCGAACUCUAUUUCUGUGACAGAAACGAAUACCUGCCCCUUUUGGUAAUGGAUUAGGAUGUGAUGCUUUGUCUCCUUUUAGGGACAAAAAAGAGGAUUGAGGGAAGGUAUCGUCUCUGGUUCCUAGACUUUAGGAUAGAUUUUGCUAGCUGUCAACAUGUAUUGUCCUUUUUUGUAAAUGCUGGAGUCACCUUGUCCCCACCCUUGAGGUGCAGGUGGUGUCCAUAACGGGGCAGGAAGAAGGAUGUGUUGUAUGUGCAUCCAUGCUUGUAUUGUGCUAAUUCUGGUAAAUGAGGGUAAGUGGCGCUAAGGCCCCUCCAGGGACCAUUUAUCUUGUUUACCAGAUGGAAUCGAAUAUGCCAGUCUUUUUUUUUUUUUUCCUAAAAAAUUUUUUUUUGUUUGUUUUUGUUAAUUUUUCUAAAAACAAAACUUAUUUAUUAUUUUAUUUUUAUUUAUUUUAAAAAUGGAAUUUAUUGUCAAAUUGGCUUCCAUACAACACCCAGUGCUCAUCCCAACAAGUGCCCUCCUCCAUGCCCAUCACCCAUUUUCUCUCUCCCCCACCCCCCCCAUUCACCCUCAGUUUGUUCUCUGUAUUUAAGAGUCUCUUGUGGUGUGCCUCCCUCCCUCUCUGUUUGUAACUAUUUUUUUCCCCUUCCCUUCCUCCAUGGCCUUCUGUUAAGUUUCUCAAGAUCCACAAAUGAAUGAAAACAUAGGAUAUCUGUCUUUCUCUGACUGACUUAUUUCAUUCAGCAUAACACCUUCCAGUUCUAUCCGCACUGCUGCAAAUGGCAUGAUUUCAUUCUUUCUCAUUGCCAAGUAGUAUUCCAUCGUAUAUAUAAACCACGUCUUUACCCACUCACCAGUUGAUGGACAUUUAGGCUCUUUCCAUAAUUUGACUAUUGCUGAAAGUGCUGCUAUACACAUUGGGGUGCAUGUGCCCCUUCGAAACAGCACACCUGUAUCCCUUGGAUAAAUACCUAGUAGUGCAAUUGCUGAGUCGUAGGGUAGUUCUAUUUUUAAUUUUUUGAGGAGCCUCCGCACUGUUUUCCAGAGCAGCUGCACCAGUUUGCGUUCCCACAAAGAGUGCCAGAGGGUUCCCAUUUCUCCACAUCCUUGCCAGCAUCUACAGUUUCCUGAUUUGUUCAUUUUAGCCACUCUGACUGGUGUGAGGUGCUAUCUCAGUGUGGUUUUGAUUUGUAUUUCCCUGAUGAGGAGUGACGUUGAGCAUCUUUUCAUGUGUCUGUUGGCCAUCUGGAUGUCUUCUUUGGAUAAGUGUCUAUUCAUGUCUUUUGCCCAUUUUGUCACUGGAUUAUUUGUUUUUCAGAUGUUGAGUUUGGUAAGUUCUUUAUAGAUUUUGGAUACUAACCCUUCCUCUGAUAUGUCAUGUGCAAAUAUUGUUUCCCAUUCCAUCAGUUACCUUUAGGUUUUUUGAUUGUUUCCUUUGCAGUACAGAAGCUUUUUAUCUUGAUGAGGUCCCAGUAGUUCAUUUUUGCUUUUCACUCCCUUGCCUUUGGAGAUGUGUCCAGUAAGAAAUUGCUGCAGCUGAGGUCAAAGAGGUUGUUGCCUGCUUUCUCCUCUAGGGUUUCGAUGGUUUCCUGUCUCACAUUUAGGUCUUCCGUCCAUUUUGAGUUAUUUUUGUGUAUGGUGUAAGAAAGUGGUCUAGUUUCAUUCUUCUGCAUGUUGCUGUCCAGUUCUCCCAGCACCGUUUGUUAAAGAGACUGUCUUUUCCACUGGAUACUCUUUCCUGCUUUGUUAAAGAUGAGUUGGCCAUGUUUUGUGGGUCUGACUCUGGAUUCUCUAUUCUAUUCUAUUGGUCUAUGUGUCUGUUUUUGUGCCAACACCAUACUGUCUUGAUGAUGACAGCUUUGUAGUAGAGGCUAAAGUCUGGGAUUGUGAUGCCUCCCGCUAUGGUUUUCUUCUUCAAUAUUGCUUUGGUUAUUUGGGGUCUUCUGUGAUUCCAUACAAAUUUUAGGAUUCCUUUUCCUAGCUUCGCGAACAAUGCUAGUGCAAUUUUGAUUGGGAUUGCAUUGAAUGUGUAGAUUGCUUUGAGUAGUAUUGACAUUUUAACAAUAUUUAUUCUUCCAAUCCAUGAGCAUGGGCUGUUUUUCCAUUUCUUUGUGUCUUCUUCAGUUUCCUUCAUAAGCUUCCUAUAGUUUUCAGCAUAUAGAUCUUUUGCAUCCUUGGUUAGGUUUAUUCCUAGGUAUUUUUUGGUCCUUGUUACCAUUGUAAAUGGGAUCAGCAUCAUUAUUUCUCUUUCUGUUGCUUCAUUACUGGUGUAUAAAAAUGCAACUGAUUUAUGUACAUUGAUUUUUGUACCCUGCGACUUUGCUUAAUUCAUGUAUCAGUUCUAGCAGACUGUUGGUGGAGUCUUUCAGGUUUUCCAUGUAGAGUAUCAUGUCGUCUGUGAAAACUGAAAGUUUGACUUGUUCUUUGCCUAUUUUGAUGCCUUUUAUUUCAUUCUGUUGUCUGAUUGUUGAUGCUAGGACUUCCAACACUAUGUUAGACAACAACGGUGAGAGUGGACAUCCCUGUCGUGUUCCUGAUCUCAGGGGGAAAGCUCUCAGUUUUUCUCCAUUGAGGAUGCUAUCAGCUGUGGGCUUUCCAUAUAUGGCUUUUAUGAUGUUUAAGUAUGUUCCUUCUAUCCCGACAUUCUUGAGGGUUUUUAUUAAGAAAGGAUGCUGUAUUUUGUCAAAUGCUUCUUCUGUAUCUAUUGAUAGGAUCAUAUGGUUCUUAUCCUUUCUUUUAUUAAUGCGAUGAAUCACAUUGAUUAAUUUGCAAACAUUGAACCAGCCCUGCAGCCCAGGAAUGAAUCCCACUUGAUCGUGGUGAAUAGUUCUUUUUAUAUGCUGUUGAAUUCGAUUUGCUAGUAUCUUGUUGAGAAUUUUUACAUCUGUGUUCCUCAGGGAUAUUAUAUUGGUCUGUAGUUCUUAUUUUUUGUGGGGUCUCUGUCUGGUUUGGGAAUCAAGGUAAUGCUGGCUUCAUAGAAUAAGUCCAGAAGUUAUCCUUCCCUUUCUAUUUUUUGGAACAACUUGAGAAGGAUAGGUAUUAUCUCUGCUUUAAAUGUCUGGUAGAAUUCCCCCGGGAAGCUAUCUGGCCCAGGACUCUUACUUGUUCAGAGAUUUUUGUUAACUGAUUCAGUUUCUUCACCAGUUAUGGGUCUGUUCAAAUUUUCUAUUUCUUCCCGUUUGAGUUUUGGUAGUGUGUGGGUGUCUAGGAAUUUGUCCAUUUCUUCCAGGUUGUCUGGUUUCUUGGCAUAUAAUUUUUCAUAGUAUUCUCUGAUAAUUUCCUGUAUUUCUGAGGGAUUGGUUGUGAUAAAUCCAUUUUCAUUCGUGGUUUUAUCUAUUUGGAUCCUCUCUCUUUUUGAGAAGUCUGGCUAGGGGUUUAUCAAUUUUGUUUAUUUUUUCAGAAAACCAGCUCUUAGUUUCAUUGAUUUGUACUACUGUUUUUUGUUCUUUGUUUGUUGUUUUGGAUUCUGCAUUGUUUAUUUCUGCUCCGAUCUUUAUUAUUUCUCUUCUGCUGGCCUUGGGGUUUCUUUGCUGUUCUGCUUCUAGUUCCUUUAGGUGUGCUGUAAGAUUUUGUCUUUGGGAUUUUUCUUGCUUCUUGAGAUAGGCCUGGAUUGCAGUGUAUUUUCCUCUUAGGACUGCCUUUGCUGCAUCCCAAAGGGUUUGGAUUGUUGUGUUUUCAUUUUCAUUUGUUUCCAUAUAUUUCUAGAUUUCUUCUUUAAUUGCCUGAUUGACUCAUUCAUUCUUUAGUAGGAUAUUCUUUAACCUCCAUGCGUUUGGAGGUUUUCCAAACGUUUUCCUGCAGUUGAUUUCAAGUUUCAUAGCAUUGUGAUCUGAAAAUGUGCAUGGUAUGAUCUCAAUUGUUUUAUGUUUAUUGAGGGCUGUUUUGUGACACAGUAUGUGAUCUGUCUUGGAGAAUGUUCUAUGUGCACUCGAGAAGAAUGUGCAUUCUGCUGCUUUAGGAUGAA